CCUACGGGAGGCUGCAGUGGGGAAUAUUGCACAAUGGGGGAAACCCUGAUGCAGCGACGCCGCGUGAGUGAAGAAGUAAUUCGUUAUGUAAAGCUCUAUCAGCAGGGAAGAAGAAAUGACGGUACCUGAGUAAGAAGCCCCGGCUAACUACGUGCCAGCAGCCGCGGUAAUACGUAGGGGGCAAGCGUUAUCCGGAAUUACUGGGUGUAAAGGGAGCGUAGACGGUGAUGUAAGUCUGGAGUGAAAGGCGGGGGCCCAACCCCCGGACUGCUCUGGAAACUAUGUGACUGGAGUGCAGGAGAGGUGAGCGGAAUUCCUAGUGUAGCGGUGAAAUGCGUAGAUAUUAGGAGGAACACCAGUGGCGAAGGCGGCUCACUGGACUGUAACUGACGUUGAGGCUCGAAAGCGUGGGGAGCAAACAGGAUUAGAUACCCUAGUAGUC
rnacentral:rRNA from 1 species